UACGUAGGGUGCAAGCGUUAAUCGGAAUUACUGGGCGUAAAGCGUGCGCAGGCGGUUUUGUAAGUCUGUCGUGAAAUCCCCGGGCUCAACCUGGGAAUUGCAUUUGUGACUGCACGGCUAGAGUGUGUCAGAGGGGGGUAGAAUUCCACGUGUAGCAGUGAAAUGCGUAGAGAUGUGGAGGAAUACCGAUGGCGAAGGCAGCCCCCUGGGAUAACACUGACGCUCAUGCACGAAAGCGUGGGGAGCAAACAGG
rnacentral:rRNA from 1 species